rnacentral:rRNA from 1 species
UACACACCGCCCGUCACACCAUGGGAGGCCGGAGAUGCCCGAAGUCAGUGGCCCAACCGCAAGGAGGGAGCUGCCGAAGGCAGUGCUGGUGACUGGGGUGAAGUCGUAACAAGGUAAC